AUGACGGGACAAGGCGACGAUCUGUGGCCCGGCACUUCGUGUCCUCAGUCCAUGCACGUGGAUUUAUUGCGGCGUCCGCGGGUCGGUUGCCAUUCUCGAGACAGUUACUGUGUGUGGUCCAUCUUCUUCCUUCUCUCUUGUUGUUGCAACUAUCGUGCACCGCGCCAUUCUUUCUUCUUGGGCGAGACUUUGCCGCCAAUCUUUCUCCUCGGCUUCUUUCUUGUGCCCAGCAUCGUAGAUGGUGCUGCCGUCGGGCUCGUGGAUGGGUUCCACCGUCAGCCAGGUGGACAUACAGUACAUGCGCAACACGCGGCGGCUGCCGCCGGAGACGACGGUGGCCAUGCACUUGCCGGGGGGCGAGCAGGAGCCGUGCCUAGAGGAGACCAAGCACGUGGCUUUCUUCACGCACUUCAAACACGGGUUUGGCCUCCCCGCGAGUGA
rnacentral:rRNA from 1 species